AUAAUGAGCCCAGAACAGUGUAGAAUGAAUGAUAGAAAGUGUUCAGUGACCUUACAAAAUAUUAAUAAUGACCAAAUCAAUAAUAUACAUGAUUCUGUCAAUAGACUUCAGAAAUGUGUGUAUAAUUGUUUGACAUGUUUCACAGCAUGAGGAAGUUGUUGGAAAAUGUGUUUGUGACUGAUCUACAGUCUUCAGGAUGAUGAUUUAAAUAGAGAGAGUCACUUUGCAUUGUGACACAUGCUUCAGUGCUCUGAGAGUGUUUAUAGUGCUGUGAGUUUAACACUUCAUGACUGAGAGCAGAACAGAACACAAUCUUCAUCAUCACACAAGACAAAAGAACAACAAUGAACACAAUCACCUUCUUCAUCUGGACACUGAUCUGUAUAUCAGGCUCCAGUGGACAGAUCACAGUUACUCAAACUCCUGUAGUUCAUACAGUCACACCAGGAGAAACUGUUGUGAUGAGAUGCACCGCCAGCACUCCUUUAACAGGCUGUAACCCACCCUGUCUGUCCUGGUACUUACAGAAACCUGGAGAAGCUCCUAAACUCCUGAUUUAUUUGAUCAACACCCGCCAGUCAGGAACUCCAUCUAGAUUCAGUGGCAGUGGAUCUGGCAGUGAUUUCACUCUGACCAUCAGUGGAGUCCAGACUGAAGAUACAGGAGAUUAUUACUGUCAGAGUUACCACUGGAUCAACAGUAAAGCUGUGUUCACACAGUGAUAAAGAGUGGUACAAAAACCUCGGUCAGUCAGACGUCACAGUGAUGCACUGAUACAGCUGAGAGAUACUGCAGCUGCUGAUGGAGGAUCACAAACAACACAAUGACAAUGUUUAGCAAAGUUUCUAAACACUUUAAAGGUAAAUGUAAUAUAUAAGAUGUAAAUACAUUAUCUUAAACCAGUUUAUUGUUCAUUGACUACUCUUAGUAUGUCAUUUGUAGGUUUAUUUCCCCAAAAUGUGACAUAUCUAAAAGAUGGCGCCUGUGAAUGUGGCAUGCCAUCUUUAAUAUGAACUCUCUUGCCUUUUAAGUACGUUGAGUCUCUCGCCUACGAUCGUCAGACCUUUUUUGACAUUUGUAUCAGUUACAUGGAUGUUUUUGAAGCAAAAAUAGAAAAUUUCGCUGACACACAAGGGAGUAUCUUAGGUGAUAUUCCGUCCCCGACUGCUGGAUGUUAUCCUGAGAAAGCAUCAGAGACGACAUGGGAAACAUGGUGGAGUGGUCGUCAGAUUAAAGAUCCACCUGCAAGCUGGCCUUCCACUCAGCUUCACUCAGGAUCUGAGCCACUUUGCAGUUUGGCAUUCGCCGAUCCUGUCAUCUCACUGCUAAAUUCGAGCUAACCAUCCUGCUCCUCCUGAUUCCCCAGCUUGACUUAUACAGGAUUAUAUAUAUAUAUAUAUAUAUAUAUAUAUAUAUAUAUAUAGUGAUAACAACACUCCUACCUUAUCACUGUUAUGGUGGCCGAGUAAAUCCACUGUAUGUUUUUACAAAUACUACACUAGUUGUAUCACAAACUACAGUUUUAACCCAUUUGUGCCCAAAUUUUUCUGAAUGGUUUCAUGCAUAUAGUCCUAUUAAUAGUGUCAUAUGUGAACAUAUUCUGCAUUUAUUUUCCCCAGGUUUUUUUUUUUGUUUUUUUUUCUUAAAAAACGUGUUUGAAUGUGUGGCAACUAUAGUUGCCGGUGGGCAAAUAUGUUGUAUGCACCCCUCAAUGUAAAAUUUGAAUAAGAGGAGAACAUUUAUGCAUCUAACUCAAAAUAACUGCUUUCAACAGAUCAAUCAAAGUCGAAGAACAUUCGAUGCGAACACAAAAAAAGUUGCAUCUAGCUUAUAAUCUCUUAAUAUGAAAACAAAACAAACAACAAAUCCGUUUGUUUUAAAGUGGUGGAACAAAGUGCAGAAUAACGUCCAGAUUAAGUUGCUCCAACAGAGCGUUGUGAAUUAAAAUGUUAAACUACAUUAUUCAUUAGAAAAAAUUACAUCUAUAUGUGACCCUGAACCACAAACCCAGUCAGAAGUCACACGGGUAUAUUUGUAGCUAUAGCCAACAAUACAUUG